GCCGCGGGGCGCAUGCUCACACGCGCUCGUGACGUGCGCCCGGGGACCGGCCUGCGGGAGGCCGGGCCGAGACGGCGGCGGGCGGAGACCGGGAGCAGAGCAGAGCAGGGCAGAGCCGCGGAGCGGAGAGGAGGAGCAGAGCAGCAGAGCAGCGGCGGGAGCGCCGGCCGCCGCGCCCCCGAGCCCGCAGCCCCACCGCCCGGGCCUCGGCACGCGGGCUCCGGUCGCUGAGCGGCCACCCCCGAGCCGGCCGCCGCGGGCCGGGCCGGGCAUGAGCGCUGAGGGGCCGCGGCCGCCCCCCGCACCGCCCGGCGCGCCGAGGCCGUGACCGGGGCGGAGCGCGCGGCCGCACUCGGGCCCGGGCCCAUGGGCGCGCCGAGCCCGGCUCGGGGGCGCUGAGCGGGCGGGCGCGGCCGGAGGAGCCAUGGACUGCAGCCUCGUGCGGACGCUCGUGCACAGAUACUGCGCCGGGGAGGAGGAAUGCGUGGACAGCCGGACCGUGUACGUGGGCCACCGCGAGCCGCCGCCGGGCGCUGAGGCCUACAUCCCGCAGAGGUGCCCGGACAACAGGAUCGUCUCCUCCAAGUACACAUUUUGGAACUUCAUACCCAAGAACUUAUUUGAACAAUUCAGAAGAAUAGCCAACUUUUAUUUUCUUAUCAUAUUUCUGGUACAGCUGAUCAUCGAUACGCCCACGAGUCCAGUGACGAGUGGCCUCCCGCUGUUCUUCGUCAUUACUGUCACAGCUAUCAAGCAGGGCUACGAGGACUGGCUGCGCCACAAAGCCGACAGCGCCGUGAACCAGUGCCCCGUGCACUUCGUCCAGCACGGCCGGCUGGUGCGGAAGCAGAGCCGGAAGCUCAGGGUCGGGGACAUCGUCAUGGUCAAGGAGGACGAGACCUUCCCCUGUGACCUGAUCUUCCUAUCCAGCAGCCGCGUGGACGGGACCUGCCACGUGACCACCGCCAGCCUGGACGGAGAGUCCAGCCACAAGACCCAUUAUGCAGUUCAAGACACAAAGGGGUUUCAUACGGAGGAAGAUAUGGAUUCUCUCCACGCCACCAUCGAGUGUGAGCAGCCCCAACCCGAUCUCUACAGGUUCGUCGGCCGCAUAAAUGUUUACAGCGAUCUGAAUGACCCUGUGGUGAGGCCAUUAGGAUCGGAAAACUUGCUUCUUAGAGGAGCCACGCUAAAGAACACUGAGAAAAUCUUCGGUGUUGCUAUUUACACGGGCAUGGAAACCAAGAUGGCGCUGAAUUAUCAGUCAAAAUCCCAGAAGCGAUCUGCUGUCGAAAAAUCAAUGAAUGUAUUCCUCAUCGUGUACCUCUGCAUCCUAAUCAGCAAAGCGCUGAUUAAUACCGUCAUGAAGUACGUGUGGCAGAGCGAGCCGUUCCGAGAUGAGCCAUGGUACAACCAGAAGACAGAGGCAGAAAGACAGAGGAACCUGUUUCUCAGAGCCUUCACGGACUUCCUGGCCUUCAUGGUUCUCUUCAACUACAUCAUCCCCGUGUCCAUGUACGUCACCGUGGAGAUGCAGAAGUUCCUCGGCUCCUACUUCAUCACCUGGGACGAAGAAAUGUUUGACGAGGAAACGGGAGAAGGGCCUCUGGUUAACACCUCGGAUUUAAACGAAGAGCUGGGACAGGUGGAGUACGUGUUCACGGACAAGACGGGCACCCUCACCGAGAACAACAUGGAGUUCAAGGAGUGCUGUGUGGAGGGCCACGUGUACGUGCCGCACGCCAUCUGCAACGGGCAGGUGCUCCCCGCCGCCGCCGCCAUCGACAUGAUCGACGCCUCCCCGGGCGCCGGCGGGCGGGAGCGGGAAGAGCUGUUUUUCCGGGCCGUCUGCCUGUGCCACACCAUCCAGGUGAAGGACGGCGACGAGGCGGACGGGCCCAGGAAGUCGCCGGACUCAGGGAGGCGCUGCGUGUACAUCUCAGCCUCGCCUGACGAGGUGGCUCUGGUCGAAGGCGUCCAGAGAGAAUUGACGCCCAGAGAUAUCAAGCAACUUCCCCAAAGUCACACAGCAAGGAAAAGAUUGGGCUUCACGUACCUGAGGCUGAAGGACAAUUACAUGGAGCUGCAAAACAGGGGCAAUGACAUUGAGAGGUUUGAAUUGCUGGAAAUUUUGAGCUUUGACUCAGUAAGGAGGAGGAUGAGUGUAAUUGUCAAAUCUGCUACAGGAGAAAUUUAUCUGUUUUGCAAAGGAGCAGAUUCUUCAAUAUUUCCCCGAGUGAUAGAAGGCAAGGUGGACCAGAUCCGAUCCAGAGUGGAGCGCAACGCAGUGGAGGGGCUUCGGACCUUGUGCGUUGCCUACAAAAGGCUCAUCCAAGAAGAAUAUGAAGGCAUCUGUAAGCUGCUGCAGGCUGCCAAAGUGGCGCUUCAAGAUCGGGAAAGGAAGUUAGCAGAAGCCUAUGAGCAAAUAGAGAAAGACCUUAUCCUGCUCGGUGCUACGGCCGUGGAGGAUCGGCUGCAGGAGAAGGCGGCCGACACCAUCGAGGCCCUGCAGAAGGCGGGCAUCAAGGUGUGGGUGCUCACGGGUGACAAGAUGGAGACAGCAGCCGCCGCCUGCUACGCCUGCAAGCUCUUCCGCAGGAAUACGCAGCUGCUCGAGGUCACCACCAAGAGGCUGGAGGAGCAGAGUCUGCACGACGUGCUCUUCGAGCUGAGCAAGACCAUCCUGCACUGCGGCGCCAGCCUGACCCGCGACAACUUCUCAGGACUCUCAGCCGAUACGCAGGACUACGGUUUAAUUAUUGAUGGCGCCGCGCUGUCCUUGAUAAUGAAGCCACGUGAGGACGGGAGCUCCAGCAGCUACCGGGAGCUCUUCCUGGACAUCUGCCGGAACUGCAGCGCCGUGCUCUGCUGCCGGAUGGCGCCCCUGCAGAAGGCCCAGAUUGUUAAGUUAAUCAAAUUUUCAAAAGAGCGCCCUAUCACUUUAGCGAUUGGUGACGGCGCCAAUGACGUCAGCAUGAUCCUAGAGGCCCACGUGGGCAUAGGCAUCGUUGGGAAGGAAGGUCGCCAGGCUGCACGGAACAGUGACUACGCGAUACCGAAAUUUAAGCACUUAAAGAAGAUGCUGCUUGUUCACGGGCACUUCUACUACAUUCGAAUAUCGGAGCUUGUGCAGUACUUCUUUUAUAAGAAUGUCUGCUUCAUUUUCCCUCAGUUUUUAUACCAGUUCUUCUGUGGGUUUUCACAACAGACCCUGUACGACACUGCCUACCUGACGCUGUACAACAUCAGCUUCACCUCCCUCCCCGUCCUGCUGUACAGCCUGAUGGAGCAGCACGUCGCCAUGGACACGCUCAAGAGGGACCCUGCCCUCUACAGAGACAUCGCCAAGAAUGCUCUCCUCCGCUGGCGGGUGUUCAUUUAUUGGACGUUCUUAGGCGUGUUCGAUGCUCUGGUGUUUUUCUUCGGUGCUUACUUCAUGUUUGAAAACACAACCGUGACCAGCAACGGACAGAUGUUUGGGAACUGGACCUUCGGGACGCUGGUAUUCACGGUGAUGGUGUUUACGGUCACCCUGAAGCUGGCGCUGGACACCCACUACUGGACUUGGAUAAACCACGUUGUGAUCUGGGGGUCGUUGCUGUUCUACGUCGUCUUCUCCCUCCUCUGGGGAGGGAUUAUCUGGCCGUUCCUCAAUUAUCAAAGGAUGUACUAUGUGUUCAUACAAAUGCUGUCCAGCGGCCCCGCCUGGCUGGCCAUCGUCCUGCUCGUCGUCGUCAGCCUCCUUCCCGACGUCCUCAAGAAAGUGCUGUGCCGGCAGCUGUGGCCCAGCGCCACCGAGAAAGUCCAGAGGAGCUCGAGCCGCCGAGCCCCGGCCGACGCCGCGCCAAGCCCUGACCGGCCUCUCCUGAUGGACCCCGAGCCGCGGCCGAGGCGCGAGUAGCUGGCGGAUAGGUAACGGCCACCCGCGGGCAGCCCGGUGUGCUGUGCUCUUGCUGACUGCGCGGUUUUCCUCCAAAGUUUUGCGUGCUGUGCUGUGUCUGUUAGGUUCACGGUGACAAAGAAAGGCUUUUACACACGUGGGUUCCAUCCCAGACCGCGUGCUUGGUGUCAGGACCACCUCUCGGGAGUCACCCACUUGCCUCUCUGUAGACCCCAGCCCUGGGCAGCGCCCUGGGAGGGCGGGGGGCGCCAGGCCCCCUCCUCCUCGGCCUCUCCCACCACCCGCGUCCCCACCCGGCUAGAGACCCUGCUCCCGUGGCCCGAGGGGAGACCGGAUGCGUGGAUCAGGGGUCCAGCCGCUAAGAGCCGCACGGUGAAGGGGACAGGACAGGCGUCCCCGGGCGGCGACCAGGCAGGACGCACACGAGCCCUCGGUGCACCCGGUGGGAGCCGGGGGACGUCUGCGGGGGAUCGCAAUCCCCCCCGGGUGAGGGCGCACCACGACCUCCUGGGAAGCGCAGCUGAGCCUUGCAGGUGGGGUCGGGUCUGGCCCCUCCUCCCGGGCCCCAAAACCUCUGCUUUCGGAACCAGCCCACGGACAUCCCAGGACCGGCACCCCUCCCUCCCGUCCGUCCACUGCUGUCGCCGGGACCUGCAGUAGCGAGGCUGACCGUGGACGUGUCUGGUCCCACGUCCCUUCCUCCGAGGGGCUGGGGCCUUUGUGCUUCGGGCACCGCCUCCUGCCUCCCCCCAGCUGCCUCUGCGAAGAGGGGAACCGGUCCAGUAAAGCUUCCGGCACAGGUUCCAGGCGAUUCAUCAUCCUGCUCACGAGGAUGUGGCUCACCGGGGUGCCCUCGCUGCGAAAUGCCCGUUUUGGGGUUGAGGGGAGGAGUGGGGCCUGGGUGCCCGAGGCCGGCCUCUGGUUGUGGUGCUCAGGCCCCCGUCAAGAGCGGUCGGCCUCCCGGGCGGUGUUGUCCCCCAGAUCUGUGUCAGGCCCACAGGGCUGACAAGGUGGCCUGGGCGACCUGAAAAGCAAUAUCGCUGCCCUCGCCGCCACCGCGCUGGCUCUGACCAAACCCUGCUCUGCCGGGGGUCCUAUCCGUGUCUCCUUGGGGGGGUGAACCGUCAGAAGGCAGCUGUGCUGUAAACUCCCUGUCACUUUCCUGUACCAGUAUCUUAUUUCUAGAAAUAACCCGUUCGACAUAGCCUUAAUAGUCCGUAAAGAAGACAUUUCAGUUUGAGAUUCAAACUUCAGAGGGUAAAACCAAUGGCUUUUUAGGAAGAGGUCACCCAGAAGCUAACCAUUGCCCCCACUGGAUGCAUGGGUGGGAUUCAGGGAUGUUGGUUGGGGAGUGAACACUGAGUCUACUUCCGAGAUGCUUGACGUUAGGGAUUUCGGGAAGUUCAGAUUUCAGUUUGAUUGUACAAUGUUCACCUAUAAACUACUUGUUUAAACGAGGGGAUGAGUUAACAGCAAGAACAAGGGUACACAGGUAGUCGGGGUGAAGCAGGUGAAGUAUAAACAUACCAAAGACUAGGAUGGUGGACGUGGGGCUUCCAGUGGGACGGGGGUGGGAGGGCGUGUCUGUCUGAGGGCCCUCCAGCCUCCGCCCCGCCCUCUGUCACCCACGCUCCACGUCCGGUGUGUGGUCCACACUAGACCCUGCAAACAACGGUGUGUGCAUUUUUACAGUCGUUUUUAAGAACCUAAAAUGGGUAUAAAUGUAAUACGUGUGGGGGACAGAUUCUCUGUACGUUUAGUUAACAAAUUGUUUGUAAUGUAUUUUUUUAGAAAUCUUAAAAUUCCCUUUGCACUGAAGUAUUUUCAUAGCUGUUUAUAAUCUUUUUUCUUCAUUUAUUUGUCAAUGUAUCGUAUCUAAUUUUUAAAGUAUGUUUUUAAAGCUUUUAUUUUUUAAGUUGAUGACAUUUUGGCCACUUUACAUUUGAAUUCUGAUGAACAUUUUGGCUGAAUGUCUCAAUAUCUGAUGAAUGUGAAUUUUCAGGUUUGAUUUUAUUCUCUACACCUGUUUAUUUUUGGUGUUUCUGGCGGUAGUGAGUAGCUAAAAGGCAUAUGUAGAGUAUGAUAAUUUGCUAUGCUCUUUCUUCACAGUUCAUUGCCAUUUCAUCUGCUUUUUAUUUGGUUUUUAAUUUCUAUCCUUCAGCCUUAAAAUAGAAGCUUCUUGACGGUUCUGUGUCCUCUUUUUUACCUGUAUUGAGACGGUUACCAUUUACCUCGGAUAAGUCAAGUCUCCUUAUGAAAGUUACUGACCUUUACAUGCUUCAAAAAGUCUUUUUAAAAUUGUUUGGGAAAUUAUUAAGUGACUGUGCCUGAUAAUUUGAAAUAGGCGAGGGGCAUGAGAUCAAAAGUAAAGUCAAAGGAGGGACAGGAGAACCCACCGAAGUGACAUUUCAGACAAGACAAUGAGAUUCCCAUCUGACAGUGGGCAGUACUUACUUGCCUUACACUAACCUUAAAGCAAGUAAUUUAAGCAUUUUCCUUAGUUUUGAAAAUCUUACAGCUGCACGUUAAUCACUUAUUGACAUUUCCCCCGUUGGUCCAGAUGUCUGGUUCCUGACCCACACGCCAUCCCCCGAAGCAAGCUGUCUGUAGGCCGUGUUGCUCCGGCCACCUCCGUUCUCCUGCUUUCAGCUCCCGGCCACCCGAGGCCGCAGGUGCACACACAUCCCACGUCCUAAGGGGACCCUGCGGGGGCCUCUGAGCCCCACCCUCAGGACAGGUGGCUGCCAGCAGCCCUCGGACCCUCCCAGCUGCAGCGGCCCUGUGUCCGGGGCUGGGAGUAAAGACCCGCUCUUGGCAACUCCUGUUAGAACCCAAAUCAGCCCAUUCCUGUGCCCUUGGUUCCAUGGGGUGAACGCAGACCAAAUGACCCACGCCCCCCUCCCCCGGGGGGGACUGUGGCCCCGUGAGACCCACUGGUGGCAGUGCCGGGCCGCGGGAGGAGCCCAGAAACACCACCUUCUGCAGUAACAGGUUUAUAGAAGCAUAGUUCGGCCUGGUGAGAUUUUGCAGCUUUAACUACAGAACUGCCUUGCACAUGCUGUGUAACUAUUCUUAAGUUCAUGGGCAUCAACCAAAAGUUCAGGGCAACCUAAGGGAAGUUUCCGGCCUUUUUCUUUAAAACCACUAAGUUCAUCUGUUUUGCUCUAUUAAUAACGUAAUACAACCACUUCUGCUUUAUCUUUAAAUUAAUGGUAUUUAUUUGACAACUCAGUGUAACAGCUUGCUAUGCACUUUCUUUUGGAAGUUUCCCAUUUGUAACUUUAAAAACAGGAAAAAUGUCAGCUGGCAAAUGCAUUCUUUUCUUUUUUUUUUUUUGUUUUUUGUUUUUAGUUAGAGGGUAGGUGAAUGGGGGUGAGAAUCAUUCUGAUUGUCUAUAAACAAAGCUUUAAUGAAGAUGUGUCAGAGUAUUAUUAAAGUGUGAUUCUACUUUUGCAGAAAAAAAUCUGAAGAUCCGUUUAUAUAGCUUUAUUUUUUACCUUAUCGAAAUAUACAGAAUUUUAAUAUGCGUAUAUUGUCUCUGACUUAAAGUUAUAAUGUGUGUCUGCAUUGCUGUUUAAAAUGUCCAUUCACUAUGUAAUGUAAUAAAAGAAUCUUCAAAACUGUAUUUAACACGAAUGUUAUCUCUAGGUGUUGUCAUCAUAAAUACUGGAAUUUAUUUUUAAAUUAUUGAAUAUAGUAGGUGCGUUUAAGAUAAUAAAUCAGCCUCCAAACAGUAGUGUUUAAUUGAUAAUUAUUUAUUAACCUGCUUUGAAAAAUUAAAUUGUGAAUUAAACCAAAUCUUAAAUUUCUGUAGAAUUUAUUUUGUAUGCUACUGUUUUUAACUUUUAUUUCUGUAGAUAAAGUAUAUCUUCAUAAUACGAAUUAUGAUUGGACUUUU